rnacentral:rRNA from 1 species
UGGGGGAUAUUGCACAAUGGAGGAAACUCUGAUGCAGCAACGCCGCGUGAAGGAUGAAGGUCUUCGGAUUGUAAACUUUUGUACUUGGGGACGAUAAUGACGGUACCCAAGCAGCAAGCUCCGGCUAACUACGUGCCAGCAGCCGCGGUAAUACGUAGGGAGCAAGCGUUGUCCGGAUUUACUGGGUGUAAAGGGUGCGUAGGCGGCUAUGCAAGUCAGUUGUGAAAACUAUGGGCUCAACCCAUAGCCUGCAAUUGAAACUGCGUGGCUUGAGUGAAGUAGAGGUAGGUGGAAUUCCCGGUGUAGCGGUGAAAUGCGUAGAGAUCGGGAGGAACACCAGUGGCGAAGGCGACCUAC